CCAGACUCCUACGGGAGGCAGCAGUAGGGAAUCUUUCACAAUGGGCGAAGGCCUGAUGGAGCAACGCCGCGUGCAGGAUGAAGGCCUUCGGGUUGUAAACUGCUUUUAUAAGCGAGAAAUAUGAUGGUAACUUAUGAAUAAGGAUCGGCUAACUACGUGCCAGCAGCCGCGGUAAUACGUAGGGGGCAAGCGUUAUCCGGAUUUACUGGGUGUAAAGGGAGCGUAGACGGAUGGAUAAGUCUGAAGUGAAAGCCCGCGGCUCAACUGCGGGACUGCUUUGGAAACUGUAUGGCUGGAGUGCAGGAGAGGUAAGUGGAAUUCCUAGUGUAGCGGUGAAAUGCGUAGAUAUUAGGAGGAACACCAGUGGCGAAGGCGGCUUACUGGACUGUAACUGACGUUGAGGCUCGAAAGCGUGGGGAGCAAACAGGAUUAGAUACCCCCGUAG
rnacentral:rRNA from 1 species